ACGCUGGCGGCGUGCUUAACACAUGCAAGUCGAACGCUGAAGCUUGGUGCUUGCACUGGGUGGAUGAGUGGCGAACGGGUGAGUAAUACGUGAGUAACCUGCCCUUGACUCUGGGAUAAGCCUGGGAAACUGGGUCUAAUACUGGAUACGACAUGUCACUGCAUGGUGGUGUGUGGAAAGGGUUUUACUGGUUUUGGAUGGGCUCACGGCCUAUCAGCUUGUUGGUGGGGUAAUGGCCUACCAAGGCGACGACGGGUAGCCGGCCUGAGAGGGUGACCGGCCACACUGGGACUGAGACACGGCCCAGACUCCUACGGGAGGCAGCAGUGGGGAAUAUUGCACAAUGGGCGGAAGCCUGAUGCAGCGACGCCGCGUGAGGGAUGACGGCCUUCGGGUUGUAAACCUCUUUCAGCACGGAAGAAGCGAGAGUGACGGUACGUGCAGAAGAAGCGCCGGCUAACUACGUGCCAGCAGCCGCGGUAAUACGUAGGGCGCAAGCGUUGUCCGGAAUUAUUGGGCGUAAAGAGCUCGUAGGCGGUUUGUCGCGUCUGCUGUGAAAGCCCGGGGCUUAACCCCGGGUGUGCAGUGGGUACGGGCAGACUUGAGUGCAGUAGGGGAGACUGGAAUUCCUGGUGUAGCGGUGAAAUGCGCAGAUAUCAGGAAGAACACCGAUGGCGAAGGCAGGUCUCUGGGCUGUUACUGACGCUGAGGAGCGAAAGCAUGGGGAGCGAACAGGAUUAGAUACCCUGGUAGUCC
rnacentral:rRNA from 1 species